GGCUAGUGUGGUGUAGUGGUUUGAGCACUGGACUAAGACUCUGGAGAGACCUGGGUUCGAAUCCCAGCUCAGCCA